rnacentral:rRNA from 1 species
UACAGAGGGGGCAAGCGUUGUUCGGAAUUACUGGGCGUAAAGGGCGCGUAGGCGGCCUGUUAAGUCGAACGUGAAAUCCCUGGGCUCAACCCAGGAACUGCGUCCGAUACUGGCAGGCUUGAAUCCGGGAGAGGGAUGUGGAAUUCCAGGUGUAGCGGUGAAAUGCGUAGAUAUCUGGAGGAACACCGGUGGCGAAGGCGGCAUCCUGGACCGGUAUUGACGCUGAGGCGCGAAAGCGUGGGGAGCAAACAGG